rnacentral:rRNA from 2 species
UACAUGGGGUGCAAACGUUGCUCGGAAUUAUUGGGCGUAAAGCGCACGUAGGCGGUCCGUUAAGUCGGAUGUGAAAUCCCUCGGCUCAACCGAGGAAGUGCAUCCGAAACUGGCGGGCUUGAGUACGAAAGAGGGUCGCGGAAUUCCCGGUGUAGAGGUGAAAUUCGUAGAUAUCGGGAGGAACACCGGUGGCGAAGGCGGCGACCUGGGUCGAUACUGACGCUGAGGUGCGAAAGCGUGGGGAGCAAACAGG